rnacentral:rRNA from 1 species
GAUGAACGCUAGCUACAGGCUUAACACAUGCAAGUCGAGGGGCAGCAUUACGGUAGCUUGCUACUGUAGAUGGCGACCGGCGCACGGGUGAGUAACGCGUAUCCAACCUGCCCAUGACUUGGGGAUAACCUUGCGAAAGCAAGCCUAAUACCCGAUACGCUUCAUAGACGGCAUCUGAAAUGAAGUAAAGGUUUACGGUUAUGGAUGGGGAUGCGUCCGAUUAGCUUGUUGGCGGGGUAACGGCCCACCAAGGCAUCGAUCGGUAGGGGUUCUGAGAGGAAGGUCCCCCACAUUGGAACUGAGACACGGGUCCAAAACUCCUACGGGAGGCAGCAGUGAGGAAUAUUGGGUCAAUGGGCGAGAGCCCUGAACCAGCCAAGUAGCGUGCAGGAUGACGGCCCUAUGGGUUGUAAACUGCUUUUAUAAGGGAAUAAAGUGAGUCUCGUGAGACUUUUUGCAUGUACCUUAUGAAUAAGGACCGGCUAAUUCCGUGCCAGCAGCCGACGG